AUACAUACAUACACACACACACACACAUGUGUUUAUACCUGUAAUUAUUGGGUCCCGGGAUAUGUAACAACUGCCUAAAUACCGAUCUUGAGAAAUUAGGCUUCUCAAAACCAGAAAGGAGAAAGGUAAUUCGAAGACUA